ACGGAAGGCAGCAGUGGGGGAUAUUGCACAAUGGGGGAAACCCUGAUGCAGCGACGCCGCGUGAGCGAAGAAGUAUUUCGGUAUGUAAAGCUCUAUCAGCAGGGAAGAAAAUGACGGUACCUGACUAAGAAGCUCCGGCUAAAUACGUGCCAGCAGCCGCGGUAAUACGUAUGGAGCAAGCGUUAUCCGGAUUUACUGGGUGUAAAGGGAGCGUAGACGGUUUGCCAAGUCUGAUGUGAAAGGUGGAGGCUCAACCCCCAAACUGCAUUGGAAACUGGUAGACUAGAGUGUCGGAGAGGUAAGUGGAAUUCCUAGUGUAGCGGUGAAAUGCGUAGAUAUUAGGAGGAACACCAGUGGCGAAGGCGGCUUACUGGACGAUAACUGACGUUGAGGCUCGAAAGCGUGGGGAGCAAACAGGAUUAGAUACCCUGGUA
rnacentral:rRNA from 1 species